GGCGAACGCUGGCGGCGUGCUUAACACAUGCAAGUCGAACGGCAAGGCCCUGCUUUUGUGGGGUUCUCGGGUGGCGAACGGGUGAGUAACACGUGAGUAACCUGCCCUUGACUUUGGGGUAACUUCAGGAAACUGGGGCUAAUACCGUAUAGGAUCUCCUGCUCCAGGGUGGGGGGUGGAAAGUUGCGGCGGGUGGGGAUGGACUCGCGGCUUAUGAGCUUGUUGGUGGGGGAGGGGCUUACCAAGGGUUUGGCGGGUACGCGGCCUGGGAGGGUGACCGGCGACAUUGGGCCUGCGAUACGGCGCAGACUGCAACGGGAGGCAGCAGGGGGGAAUAUUGCCCAAUGGGCGGAAGCCUGAUGAAGCAACGCUGGGGGCGGGAUGACGGCCUGUGGGUUGUAAACCGCUUUCGCCUGUGACGAAGCGUGAGUGACGGUAAUGGGUAAAGAAGCACCGGCUAACUACGUG
rnacentral:rRNA from 1 species